UUGGUGAUUAUGGAGGCUGGGAAGCCCCAGGUUCUGCUGUCUGCAAGCCCGCGACCCAGGAAAGCUGGUGGGAGGUGUGGCUCUGAGACCGGAAGGCUGACGGUUGUCUCCUCCUGGGACAUCCGUGUCAGGGUGCACGGACCACAGUGUGGUCUUUCUGUCUGGCCCUGUCCAGCCUGAAGAGGGAGCUUUACUGGAUGUUAAAGAAUUCUUUGGGGUCGAUCUCCUCAAAUACAGCAGAUUGACUUUUCUCAAAAGCGAACGUCAUUGUCCAAUAAAAUACGAAUGCACGUCCCCCAUCAC